UGCGUAGGCGGAUUAUUAAGUCAGUGGUGAAAGUCUUCAGCUUAACUGAAGAAGUGCCAUUGAUACUGGUAGUCUUGAGUACAGUAGAGGUAGGCGGAAUUUAUGGUGUAGCGGUGAAAUGUAUAGAUACCAUAAAGAACACCGAUAGCGUAGGCAGCUUACUAUACUGUAACUGACGCUGAGGCACGAAAGCGUGGGGAGCGAACAGGAUUAGAUACCCUGGUAGUCC
rnacentral:rRNA from 1 species